rnacentral:lncRNA from 1 species
ACAGAAAAUCCUUCCUGCAGCAUGGGCCAGGUUAUACCGGAUGUCUCAUACAGGCCAGUAUCUUAUUCCAUGCAUGACUUACUCAUGUUGCAAAAGCAGGCCCUUGUGAUUAUAUAACAGCUCUCAAGAGGAAGCUGCUAACAAGACCAUCUGACAUUUUUUUGCCAGCUGUUUUAGUGGAGGCGUGUUGGAUUAGACUGAGCUCCACCUUCUCUGAUGAGCAAAGCAUUUGGAAAAUGACAGAGCCUGAAGAAAAAGGAAUUUCAAAAUCUGGCUCCCCAUUUUCUCCUGAGCAGGUCUGCUCUUCUACAUGUGUGGACAAGUAGGCAAGAGUGGUCUACAAGCUCCUUCUCAGCAAGCCCGGCUGUUAGGAGUCAUGACUUCGCAUGAUGCAGUGACUCCUGCUAAGUUCCUGUCAGUGUGCCAUAGUUCAGUGAGAAGCACAGUGUCUUCAGAUGGUGCUGGACAAGCUUUUCUCCAUGAUGUGCUGUUAAAAGCAUAUAUCCAGAUAUCCAGAAAAAAAAAAAAAGUGGAAAAAAAGAAGCAGCUGACCAAUAACUUACCUAGAAAAAAUGAAUGGAAGUGUAUACCAGAAGAUGAAUGCAACCUUCAAAACACCCUGUUCAGCUUUGUAGAGGGCUCUGGGAGAGUGGUUCUGUGGAGUCUGGAAAUGCUUAAAAAUAGCUUUGCUUGGGACACCACACAAUCUGCUGACAUUUUGGAACUCCGGGAUAAAAACAGAACAUUUCCAACAGCAAAGGUCUCCUGAAGUUGUUGAAAGAAGAUUAGAACAGUGGUUCUUCUUGCACGUUCUUUUCUUAAGUCAUUUUUCUUAAAAACUGAUUCCCUCCAACUGAAACACUGAAGGCAAACUUCCAUGGCCAGAGAAAUCACUUGUCAGAGAGACAAGACCAAUUACUUGUUAAAACAAAAACAGGUAAAUCCUACCAGGGCAGAUCCAUUGCCAUAAUGAGGAAUUUUGCCAGGUUAUACUUUUGUGUGUGUGUGUGUGUGUUUAUUUUUCUAAUGAUACUCUACAUCAGAAUUUCACAGGAUCACAGAAUGGCUGAGGUUGUAAGGGAUCUCUGAAGAUCACUUUGUCCAACCCCCUUACCGAGCAGAAUCACCUAGAGCAUGUUGUGCAGGAUGGCAUCCAGGCGGGUUUUGAAUAUCUCCAGAGGAGAUUUCCCAAACUGUCUGGGGAACCUGUCCCAGUGCUGUCACCCUCAUAGUAAAGAAAUGCCCUCUCAUACUCAGCAGGAACCUCCUGUGCUUCAGGUUGAGCCCGUUACCGCUUGUCCUCUUGCUGGGCACAACUGAAAAGAGACUGGCUCCAUCCUCUUGACACUCUCCUCUCAGAUAUUUAUACAUAUUGAUGAGGUCGCCCCUCAGUCUUCUCUUUUCCGGGCUAACCAGACCCAGUUCUCUCAUCCUGUCCUAUGACAGGUGCUCCAGUCCUCUAAUCAUCUUUGUAGCCCUCCUCUGAACUCUCUCCAGUAGUUCUAUGUCCCUCUUGCACUGGGGAGCCCAGAACUGGACACAAUACUCCAGGUGUGGCCUCACCAGGGCUGAGCAAAAGGUGAGGAUCACCAUCUCCCUUGACCUGCUGGCAACACUCUUCCGAAUGCACCCCAUUUCAUUAAAUGCUCAACUCUGCUGUCCUUGCCUGUUUUAGAUUACCUCCUAAAAUCUCUGCUUUCUUCACAUUCUGGUGUCUUAAUCUUGUAAAAAUUGUCUCAGCAUGACAUAAGUCUCACACAUAAACUGUUCCUGUUAAUGCUCAAAGAAUUAAAUGCAACUAAAGAUGAAGGUGAUUAUCUAACUACCUGCAGAAUAAUAAACAAACUGCAAUACUUUGAUAUAAGAAGAUU